CCUACGGGAGGCAGCAGUGAGGAAUAUUGGUCAAUGGACGAGAGUCUGAACCAGCCAAGUAGCGUGAAGGAUGACUGCCCUAUGGGUUGUAAACUUCUUUUAUAUGGGAAUAAAACAGGGUAUGCAUACCCUCUUGUAUGUACCAUAUGAAUAAGGAUCGGCUAACUCCGUGCCAGCAGCCGCGGUAAUACGGAGGAUCCGAGCGUUAUCCGGAUUUAUUGGGUUUAAAGGGAGCGUAGGUGGAUGGUUAAGUCAGUUGUGAAAGUUUGCGGCUCAACCGUAAAAUUGCAGUUGAAACUGGCCGUCUUGAGUACAGUAGCGGUUGGCGGACUUCGUGGUGUCGCUGUGACAUGCUUAGAUAUCACGAAGAACUCCGAUUGCGAAGGCAGCUCACUGGACUGCAACUGACCCUUCUGCUCGACCGUGUUGGUAUCCACCAGCCUUAGUUCUAGUC
rnacentral:rRNA from 1 species